GAUGAACGCUGACAGAAUGCUUAACACAUGCAAGUCGAUGGGGAAGUGGUGCUUGCACCAUGGUAACCAUGGCGGACGGGUGAGUAACGCGUAAGGAACUUGCCUGCGGGACUGGGAUAACAGCAGGAAACUGCUGAUAAUACCGGAUAAGGUCAUUAAGCUGCAUAGCUUAGUGAUGAAAGGAGACGCCUGCGGAGAGCCUUGCGUCCUAUUAGCUAGUUGGAGGGGUAACGGCCCACCAAGGCGAAGAUAGGUAGCCGGCCUGAGAGGGCGGACGGCCACAAGGGGACUGAGAUACGGCCCUUACUCCUACGGGAGGCAGCAGUGGGGAAUAUUGGACAAUGGGGGCAACCCUGAUCCAGCAAUUCUGUGUGCACGAAGACGGUUUUCGGAUUGUAAAGUGCUUUCAGCAGGGAAGAAGGAAGUGACGGUACCUGCAGAAGAAGCGACGGCUAAAUACGUG
rnacentral:rRNA from 1 species